AGCUCGACCCCAUCUAUCCUCCUUUUCGUCCGCCUUUCUUCUCUCUUACCUACAUUCUCUCCAUCGGUCUGAAAAAGAGCAAAAAACCUAUCUCUCGACCCUCAUCUCAAUCCGACCGUCCAUCUCACCACUCUCCGAACCCGCCCCAGAAAUCUGACGGAGAAGAUGAAGCGGAAGAAAUGGACGGAGGAGGAGGAAUCGACCCUGAUCAGCAAGUACUCGGAGCUGCUCCGGUCGGGCACUCUGUCGAAGCUGAAGACCCGCGAGAAGAAAUUCGAGCCGAUCGCACAGCACGUGAACGCCCUCCAUCACAUGGUGGACCCCACCUCCUUCCCUUUCCGAUGGUCAUGGCGCGACGUCUCGAUCAAGGUACAGAACAUGCGACAUCAGUUCCUUAACGUGAAGCAGAAGAUCCGAAUCGUCCCUUCUUCUUCAAAUUCAGCUUCGUCCAACACCAGUGGCUAUAACUGGUCUGACGGUGAAAACCACUGGCAGAAUUUCCUGAAAUACAAGCAAGUUUUUGGAGAUCUUGAUCUUGAUCCACCACUCUCAGCUGUUGCAAACGGAAGUGGCAACAAUGCCCACGUUGGAAACAGCAACAACCACAACGAUGAUGAUGAUGAAAAUGAUGAUGAUGAUAGGGCAGGACCGGUGGAUGGCCCGUCAUCUUUGUUGGUGGUGGAUGAUGAUGCUGCUGCUGUUUUUGGUUAUGAUGGUUUUGUCGAUGGCGAUGGUUCUGAUGUUCUUGGAUUGGGUCUGGGGAUUGAUUGCGAGGACGGGUUUGAUGCGGAUCGUGAUGAGGAGGAGGUGGACCCGGCUGUGAGUGAUGGCGAAGAGCGGGAUGGUGGUGAGGAUGGGGAAGAUGGUGACUUGGGUUUUGUUCGCGGGAUGAAGAGAGCGAGGAAGGAUGGCGAGGAUUGGGGCGGGCAGGUUUUGGAGCUGAGGGAGAUGGCGUUGAGGAGGGAGGAGAGUAGGAGGGAGAGGGAGUUUGGGAGAGAAGAUGAGGUGGCGGCAAGAGAGGAUGGGAGGCGGGAGAGGGAGAGGCAGAGGGAGGAGCGAAUGGGCACGAGGGAGUUUGAAUUGGAGGAGCGGGAGCGGAUGUGGGUGAGGUGGCAGUUUGAGAGGCGAAUGAGGGUUGAGGAGGAGUUUGUGGAGGAACGGAGGCGGAGGAUGAAGAUGGAGGAGAAGAGAGAGGAGGAGGAGAUGAAGUGGAGGGAGCAGAUGGUUGGAAUGCAGAUGGAGCAUGAGAAACAGAUGAUGGAGAUGUAUGCGGACGCUUGUCAUAACCAAAUGCAGGUUUUGGGGGUUCUGGUGAGGCUGGUUAGCCAGUUCUUCGGGCCUGGGGGUGAUGGGUUGGGGGGUGGGAUGGGUGGGUUGCCUUCACAAGUUUUGCAGAAUCUGCAGCAUCCAGGGAGCUUGGUGGGUGAAAAUGGGAAGGCAGAUGGGAACUCAGGGGGCCACUUCAUGUAGAUUGAUGAUAGAGUCUGAUCUUGAGGUCUUCUUGUAUAUGGCAUUGCAAUGUAAGGAGAAGGUGGUGAAUUGUGUGGGUUCUCUAUGUUAGGACAGGCAAGAAAGAAUUCAAUAAGGUUGGUGGGCAGGCCUGUUUUAAAUGGUUGAGGGGAAGAAUGCCAUUUCACAGAUACUUCUCAGUCCGUGGCGUCUGUUAGAAUUAAGAGAGUUUUAUUAGACUCGUCUUCUAUUGUGUAUAUUUAUGCUCCCCAGGGACAGCAUACCAUUUUGUAAUAGGGUUUAUUGAAUAAAAGAGAUCAGAGGGCUGUAAUUCAUCUCUA